CAGAAUCUGAUUAGCACAAAAGAAUGGGCUGUUUGUCUACCAGCAGGGAGGUCGGCAGUGAUGACCAGACAUGGUGGGCUAGAUAAGCAUAUCCAGAUUUGCCCCUGACCAGACGGUAGAAAGGAUAACUAACCAAGAACGCACUAACACUGACCAAGAUCUCCGUGAGGGUAGAGGUGAAACAAACCCAGUACUUUCAAUGGUGCCCUUUUCCUAGCUCACAACCGGAAACCAGUUCCUUACCAUCUCCAAACCUCAGCAAUCUACCUGGUCCUCCAAGGGGAAUAAUUCUGACCUUGGGCUGAAGAGGAAGAUGGUUUGCCAGAAGGGAUCGGAGAAUGCACCUGUUGUGCAUGCGGGCCACACACUAACCAGCCUGGAAAGCUGCCUGCUCCUCCGCGCCCCGGCUAAUUCCCCAGUCACAGCUGGGACUUCACGGCGGGAGCAGCUUCCCUCGAAGUACAGCCCGGCUCCAAAAUAAUUCUCCGCUCUCCAGCUUAAACUGACGCGGGUCCACACAAGUCCCACUAAGCGGAUCCAAACUAGCCGGUGUGACCCACACCUCCAACAGUAUUCCAGAGGACAGAAUGGGGGGGGGGUAGCCUGUAAAUCCAGUACUUCGGGAGGCUGAGGCAAGAGGAUCGCACAUUAGAGCCCAGCCUGGGCAAGUUAGGGAUUUAGCGAGACCCCCGUCUCAAAAUAAAAAAUAAAACGGGCUGGGAUGCAGCUCAGUCCGAAGCCCCUGGAUUCAAUCCCCAGUACCUAAAAAAAAAAUUUCAGAG
rnacentral:lncRNA from 1 species